GAUGAACGCUAGCGACAGGCUUAACACAUGCAAGUCGAGGGGCAUCACGAAUUGUAGCAAUACAGUUUGGUGGCGACCGGCGCACGGGUGAGUAACGCGUAUGUAACAUACCUAUCAGAGGGGGAUAGCCCGGUGAAAGCCGGAUUAAUACCGCAUAAAACAGGGGUCCCGCAUGGGAAUAUUUGUUAAAGAUUAAUUGCUGAUAGAUUGGCAUGCGUUCCAUUAGUUAGUUGGUGAGGUAACGGCUCACCAAGACGUCGAUGGAUAGGGGUUCUGAGAGGAAGGUCCCCCACACUGGUACUGAGACACGGACCAGACUCCUACGGGAGGCAGCAGUGAGGAAUAUUGGUCAAUGGGCGAGAGCCUGAACCAGCCAAGUCGCGUGAAGGAUGACUGUCCUAUGGAUUGUAAACUUCUUUUAUAGGGGAAUAAAAAGGGGCACGUGUGCUCUAUUGCAUGUACCCUAUGAAUAAGCAUCGGCUAACUCCGUGCCAGCCGCCGCCGUAACAC
rnacentral:rRNA from 1 species